GACGAACCACCCAAACGUUAUUCGGAAUCACUGGGCUUAAAGCGUGCGUAGGCGGCCCGGAAAGUUAGGUGUGAAAUGCCACAGCUCAACUGUGGAAUUGCGCUUAAAACUACCGGGCUCGAGGGAUAUAGAGGUGAGCAGAACAGAUGGUGGAGCGGUGAAAUGCGUUGAUAUCAUCUGGAAUACCGGAGGCGAAGGCGGCUCACUGGGUAUCUUCUGACGCUGAGGUACGAAAGCCAGGGGAGCGAACGGG
rnacentral:rRNA from 1 species